UAGGGAAUAUUGCACAAUGGGGGAAACCCUGAUGCAGCAACGCCGCGUGAGUGAUGAAGGCCUUCGGGUCGUAAAGCUCUGUCGUGUGGGAAGAAACAAAUGACGGUACCACACAAGAAAGGACCGGCCAACUUCGUGCCAGCAGCCGCGGUAAUACGGGGGGUCCAAGCGUUGUUCGGAAUCACUGGGCGUAAAGCGCAUGUAGGUGGCUUUUCAAGUCAACUGUGAAAGCCCAGGGCCUAACCCUGGAAGUGCAGUUGAUACUGCUAAGCUUGAGUACGAGAGAGGAUAGUGGAAUUCCUGGUGUAGUGGUGAAAUACGUAGAUAUCAGGAGGAACAUCGGUGGCGAAGGCGGCUAUCUGGCUCGAUACUGACACUGAGAUGCGAAAGCGUGGGGAUC
rnacentral:rRNA from 1 species